AGAUUGAACGCUGGCGGCAUGCUUUACACAUGCAAGUCGAACGGUAACAGGCCGCAAGGUGCUGACGAGUGGCGAACGGGUGAGUAAUGCAUCGGAACGUGCCCAGUCGUGGGGGAUAACGCAGCGAAAGCUGUGCUAAUACCGCAUACGAUCUAUGGAUGGAAAGCGGGGGACCGAAAGGCCUCGCGCGAUUGGAGCGGCCGAUGUCAGAUUAGCUAGUUGGUGAGGUAAGCUACACCAAGGCGACGAUCCUUAGCUGGUCUGAGAGGAUGAUCACGCCACGACGUGGGACUGACGACACCGGCCAGACCUCCGAGGGAGCAGCAGGUAGGAAUGUGGACAGUGGGACGAA
rnacentral:rRNA from 1 species